UACAGAGGCUACAAGCGUUGUUCGGAUUUACUGGGCGUAAAGCGUGCGUAGGCGGUAUUGAGAGUCGCGGGUGAAAUCCCAGGGCUUAACCCUGGAACUGCCUGCGAGACCUCAGUACUAGAGUGUGAGAGGGGAUAGCGGAAUACCAAGUGUAGCGGUGAAAUGCGUAGAGAUUUGGUGGAACACCGGUGGCGAAGGCGGCUAUCUGGCUCACAACUGACGCUCAGGCACGAAAGCGUGGGUAGCAAACAGG
rnacentral:rRNA from 1 species